rnacentral:rRNA from 1 species
GAUGAACGCUGGCGGCGUGCCUAAUACAUGCAAGUCGAGCGAACAGAUGAGGAGCUUGCUCCUCUGACGUUAGCGGCGGACGGGUGAGUAACACGUGGAUAACCUACCUAUAAGACUGGGAUAACUUCGGGAAACCGGAGCUAAUACCGGAUAAUAUAUUGAACCGCAUGGUUCAAUAGUGAAAGACGGUUUUGCUGUCACUUAUACAUGGAUCCGCGCCGCAUUAGCUAGUUGGUAAGGUAACGGCUUACCAAGGCAACGAUGCGUAGCCGACCUGAGAGGGUGAUCAGCCACACUGGAACUGAGACACGGUCCAGACUCCUACGGGAGGCAGCAGUAGGGAAUCUUCCGCAAUGGGCGAAAGCCUGACGGAGCAACGCCGCGUGAGUGAUGAAGGUCUUCGGAUCGUAAAACUCUGUUAUUAGGGAAGAACAAAUGUGUAAGUAACUAUGCACGUCUUGACGGUACCUAAUCAGAAAGCCACGGCUAACUACGUG